AUACGGAGGGUGCAAGCGUUACUCGGAAUCACUGGGCGUAAAGCGCGCGCAGGCGGCUAUUUAAGUUGGAUAUGAAAGCCUACGGCUCAACCGUAGAACUGCAUCCAAAACUAUUUAGCUAGAGUGUGGGAGAGGAAGAUGGAAUUAGUUGUGUAGGGGUAAAAUCCGUAGAGAUAACUAGGAAUACCAAAAGCGAAGGCAAUCUUCUGGAACACUACUGACGCUGAGGCGCGAAAGCGUGGGGAGCAAACAGGAUUAGAAACCCUAGUAGUCC
rnacentral:rRNA from 1 species